UAGGUUGAAUGGAAAUAUGUC
rnacentral:piRNA from 1 species